CCUCCUCCUCCUCCUCCUCCUCCUUCUUCCUCUUCUUCCUCUACCUCCUCCUCUUCCUCUUCCUCUUUGUCUUCUUCCUCUACCUCCUCCUCCUCCUCUUAUAAUUUUUUCAUUGGUGUUUAGCCUGUAUGUAUGUCUGUGUGAGGCUGUUGGACCCCCUGGAACUGUAGUUACAGACAGUUGUGAGCUGGCACGUGAGUGUUGGGAAUUGAACCCUCCUCUGGAAGAGCAGUUAACUGCCGCACCAUUUCUUCAGCUCCCUGGUUACUCUUUACUGUCAACGUGACACGAUCAAGAAUCACCUCAGGAGAGACAUUGACGGAAGAACUGUUUAGAUCGGGUUGGCCUGACUGAUGAUUGACGUGGAAAGCCUAACCCACAUUGUAGAAAAUCAACCUGAGGCACACAAGAAAGUGUAGCAGCUGCUAGCAGCCGAUCUUCACUGUGCUGAAAUCUUUAAAACCAACUGCAUGGAGUUGGAAAGACAAACUAC
rnacentral:lncRNA from 1 species